UGGGGAAUAUUGCACAAUGGGCGCAAGCCUGAUGCAGCCAUGCCGCGUGUGUGAAGAAGGCCUUCGGGUUGUAAAGCACUUUCAGCGAGGAGGAAGGUGGUGAGCUUAAUACGCUCAUCAAUUGACGUUACUCGCAGAAGAAGCACCGGCUAACUCCGUGCCAGCAGCCGCGGUAAUACGGAGGGUGCAAGCGUUAAUCGGAAUUACUGGGCGUAAAGCGCACGCAGGCGGUUUGUUAAGUCAGAUGUGAAAUCCCCGGGCUCAACCUGGGAACUGCAUUUGAAACUGGCAAGCUAGAGUCUCGUAGAGGGGGGUAGAAUUCCAGGUGUAGCGGUGAAAUGCGUAGAGAUCUGGAGGAAUACCGGUGGCGAAGGCGGCCCCCUGGACGAAGACUGACGCUCAGGUGCGAAAGCGUGGGGCAGCAAACAGGAUUAGAUACCCUGGUAGUCCACGCUGUAAACGAUGUCGAUUUUGGAGGUUGUGCCCUUGAGGCGUGGCUUCCGGAGCUAACGCGUUAAAUCGACCGCCUGGGGAGUACGGCCGCAAGGUUAAAACUUAAAGGAAUUGACGGGUC
rnacentral:rRNA from 1 species